ACAACCAUACCAUGCUGAAUAUACCGGUUCUCGUUAGAUCACCGAAGUCAAGCAUCAUUGGGCGCGGUCAGUACUUGGGUGGGUGACCACCUGGAAACACCGCGUGCCGUUG
rnacentral:rRNA from 1 species